ACUAUAUCUCUUCAUCCAUCCAUCAGUUGAAUGCCUCCUUCUAGUAUCAAUUUGACCAUCUCCCUGCCUUCAUUCGACAGUGUUUUCAAGUCCAUCCCUUGGUUAGAAAUCUCUGUGGUUGUAAGUUUCUAAAUUUGUGUUUGAGUUUCUAUUUUUUAACAAGUGUCUUGCAAUUCAGCCAUCAACUGAGGCUGGGUUUUUGAAGUGUUCAAGGUACCCUUACCCCCUACCAUCAACAGUGUUUUGAGUCCCAUCAGUGGUGGCUUUGGGCUGUUAUUGCUGGUUCUCCCUUAGUUACUAUUUUGGGAACACGUCUCUAAUCUUAGUUAUGGUUAUGUGUUGCAACUGAGAGUUUGAGGGCUACUAUUUUGGGAAC